CCCUUAGAUGUUCUGGGCCGCACGCGCGCUACACUGACGAUGGCCACGAGUUUUUCCUUCGCCGAAAGGUGUGGGUAAUCUUUUGAAACAUCGUCGUGCUGGGGAUAGAUCAUUGCAAUUUUUGAUCUUGAACGAGGAAUUCCUAGUAAGCGCGAGUCAUCAGCUCGCGUUGAUUACGUCCCUGCCCUUUGUACACACCGCCCGUCGCUACUACCGAUUGAAUGGUUUAGUGAGGACUCCUGAUUGGCGCCGCCGCCCCGGCAACGGAGCAGCGGACUGCCGAAAAGUUGUUCAAACUUGAUCAUUUAGAGGAAGUAAAAGUCGUAACA
rnacentral:rRNA from 1 species